AAUGAACGCUAGCGGGAUGCCUUACACAUGCAAGUCGAACGGAGUGGCGAACGGGUGAGUAAUGAAUCGGAACGUGCCCAGUAGCGGGGGAUAACUACGCGAAAGCGAAGCUAAUACCGCAGACUAUGGGAGCGGCCGAUAUCGGCUUAGCUAGUUGGUGGGGGAACGGCGCACCAAGGUGACGAUCCGUAGCUGGUGUGAGAGGACGACCAGCCACACUGGGACGGAUACACGGCCCAGACUCCUACGGGAGGCAGCAGUGGGGAAUUUUGGACAAUUGGGGAAACCCUGAUCCAGCCAUCCCGCGUGUGCGAUGAAGGCCUUCGGGUUGUAAAGCACUUUUGGCAGGAAAGCGGUACCUUCAGAAUAAGCACCGGCUAACUACGUGCCAGCAGCCGCGGUAAUAC
rnacentral:rRNA from 1 species